GAUGAACGCUGGCGGCGUGCUUAACACAUGCAAGUCGAACGAUGAAGCCCAUCUUGCUGGGUGGGUUAGUGGCGAACGGGUGAGUAACACGUGAGUAACCUGCCCUUAACUCUGGGAUAAGCCGGGGAAACUGGGUCUAAUACCGGAUAGGAGCGUCCACCGCAUGGUGGGUGUUGGAAAGAUUUAGCGGUUUUGGAUGGACUCGCGGCCUAUCAGCUUGUUGGUGAGGUAAUGGCUCACCAAGGCGACGACGGGUAGCCGGCCUGAGAGGGUGACCGGCCACACUGGGACUGAGACACGGCCCAGACUCCUACGGGAGGCAGCAGUGGGGAAUAUUGCACAAUGGGCGAAAGCCUGAUGCAGCGACGCCGCGUGAGGGAUGACGGCCUUCGGGUUGUAAACCUCUUUCAGUAGGGAAGAAGCGAAAGUGACGGUACCUGCAGAAGAAGCACCGGCUAACUACGUG
rnacentral:rRNA from 1 species